AAUGAACUCAUCCUUGAUUGUGGAGCAGAGGAGCACUUCUGCAUGUGGCAGGAGGGGAUGUGUGGCGGAGAGAGAAGCGAGGAAGCAGGACCGAGCUCCUGGGAAGGUUGGCUGGAGAUGCUGUACGCCUCUCUGCUUUGCCCAGAGCUCCUGGGAGACCUUGGGGGGAGCAAUGCACAUGGCUUGGAGUAGGUCAGGUCUGGGUGAUGAGGUGAACAAAAGGGGCCCAGACAUCCAGAACAGCCACUGGAAAUAUCAGAGAAGUCAGCCUGUGCCAGGGACGACUGUUUUCUUCCCCGGCACACUGCACCUCCGUGCUUUCCAUGUGGAGAUCAGGCUGUCCCUCUGCCACCAGCCUGCCCAAGGCCGAUGCCGAUGCCUCAGCAGCAGACUUCCCAUCCAGCCAUCCCGCAGUCCCAACGGGCUCCGUGAAGGUGAACUGCUGCCCUCACCUUCCCAGCCUGUCCCUCCUGAGGAGCUGAGCCCACCCAUGGCAGCACGUCAGCAGUGUCAGAGACCCCAGCGUGUCCCCCCGAUCCCAAUGCGGCCACGGCUCUGCAGCUGUGCAGACCCCAGACCCCUCCUGACGGGGCUAGACUGGGAAGGAAGGAGCAAGGCUGCUUCUGCAAGGCGUGAGGUUCAAUAG
rnacentral:lncRNA from 1 species